CUCUUCACCCCGGUCCUCCAAGCAGUUCUGACCGCCUUCUGCUUCCCCCACAGUCCUGACAGGGGGGUUCCCCUCCCUACAAGCAUGCUGCUUGCAGAUGGAUGUGCUUACACACUAGUUUGCUUACAGAGUUGGGAGCCUCAUGGACCACCCACUACUGCCCACCAUUCACCUUCUAGUCCCCUGGGUAGAGGGAAGGAAACCCCUGGCUGGCUGUUUCGUCUGCCUCUGGUUUACUCUGACCCUCUCUCUUUCCCUCUCUCUCUGCUAAGACCAGUGGUUUUAUGCUUUCUGGAGGUCACAGACUAUAUGUGUUAGGCAUGCAUUCGGCUGGAGGUAACAGGAAAUCUGACCCACAGUAGCUUUAAAAAAAAAAAUUUUUUUUUAAGGUUUAUUCAUUUUUCAGAGACAGGGCAUGAGCGGGGGAGGGGCAGAGAGAGAGGGAGACAAGACACAGAAUCUGAAACAGGCUCCAGGCUCUGAGCUGUCAGCACAGAGCUCGACGCGGGGCUCGAACUCGGGCAGUGUGAGAUCAUGACCUGAGCUGAAGUCGGACGCUUAACCGACUGAGCCACACAGGCACCCCUGAGCCACAGUAGCUUAAACAGACGGAGCUUUAACAGUCCCCCGAUGAGAACUCCACAGAGGGCAGAGCCAAGCUAGUACAGCAGCUCAGGGAGGGCCUCAAGGCCUGGCAUCCUGUGUCUUCCUCUUCCACCAUUCUUACCAUACUGGCUGCGGCUCCCUUGUCUCCAGAUGGCUGUGGUGCCCCUGGGGGGAAUGGGCCCAAAAAACAGAGGAAGAUGGCUUCUCCUAGUUCCCUUUCCAUGAAGAAAGCAACAGCUUUCCCAGAGCCCUUUGAACAGAGCGACGUCACAAGGAAGGCUGAGAAAUCACAGCUUAACCCUCUAGCCAACACAGCGAAGGGCAGUGGUCUCCACACAGUCCCCUAGAGGGCUCUUCAGCACAGAUUGCAGGACCCCACUCGGAGUUUCUGAUUCAAUAGGUCAGAGCGCGGCCUGAGAAUAUGCAUUCUUUUAAGUUCCUGGUAGAUGGUGAUGCUGCUGGUCCGGGGACCAUCCUUUGAGGACCACUGGUGGAGAGGCAGGCAGGGGACCAAGGGAGAAAGACCUGGCAUUGAUGGGCCAUCAGUCUGGGGCCUAGACUGCACACACUUUGGGCACCUUAUGAAAGCCAUGAAACGUCUCUCUGAAGAGCACACUGAGGUGGAAAACCGUUCGGCAAGUCGCCAAGCUCGGCCUGGAGCACGUGCCCCUCACAGGUCUGCAGCCCAGGCAGGGGUCACGGUGCUGCGGUCCCCAGUGCAGACCCCAAAGGCCACAGCCUUCCUUCCAUUCCCUGACCGCCCCUGAGCAGGGGCCAGCCCGGGACCCCAUAGGGAGUCCUCGUCCCCUUUGGUUUCCUCAGGCCUUUGCCAGUCCUCAAACUACGGCCUCUGUCCACGCAGACCACACAGGACCCAUGCACCCAGGCAGUGGCCUCAGACCUUGACCGCAGCCUACAGUGCACUUCUGUCCGUGUCUAUGCAGAAAUAUCUGUGUUUUAAAAAAAAAAAAGGCGAAGCAAAAGUGACCCAAACAGUAUUUAGCCUAACCGUGUGUGAAGCACUUUGAUGUAGUCUAGUCUGUUCAAAAUGUGAAUGCAGCUCAAUACCUCCUUCAGUGAUCUCAUGAUUUAGCAGUGGUUCUCUGACCGGUUUGGAAACUGCCGUGUUUGAGGGUGCCUGCAUUGUGUGGGUACCUCCCCUUGCCCUGGUCAGGGGCCCAGAAGGGUGAGGAUGGAGAGGGUGUGUGGCCCAGUGGGUUUAGUCUCUGGUUCAGCCUAUUUCCCUAAACAGGUGGUUCUUAAUCAGUGAAACUCACGGACUCUGGAACAGCUCUUUCAUUCGUUAUUUAUCCCUUCAUUUCACUCACAGAUAUUUCUUAGGGACCUGUUGUGUCACAGACACUAGGGUGGGAGCCGGGGUGAAAUAAUGAGCAAACUCAGAUGAGGCCCCCCCAGCCCCUCACCUCAGCCCAUCAUCCGCUGAGGGAGACAGACGACAAUUAGGCCAUCACUGAGACACCUGUCAAAGUGCACCCACCUAGAGGGACUCUGCACCAGGAGAAUCCUGGGUGCCGCGGGGUCCCAGGUCUCAGCUCCCCUAGUCCCUGUGCUGGACAUAGGCCUGUGUUCGUAAAUCUGAGGAACCAUAGGGUUUUGAAAUCUGCGAUAUAAAGGCAGCGGCUCUGAGGAGAAGACUGUGGCUGAAGCAGGGAGUGCGUAUAAAAUUACCCUGUGUCUGACAGAAAGAUUUGCUGAACCCGGGAAUGAAGGGAAUAAAAUGGGAGAGGAGCCCACUACAAAAGAGGGCCCAGCGGUUGGGAGCCUUAAUUUGCAUACAGACAAUUGAUGCUAAUUGCAAAUCAUUCUUAUCUACUCAUUAAGCUGCUUCCUGAAGUUUUCUCCUAGGCAACCAGGCUCUGGCACGGAACAGCAUUUCCCAAAAUGGGGUGCUCGAGGUGAUUUGGGUGGUAUAGGAGGAAAAUGUUUUUGUUUUUGUUUUUUUUUAACAGAUAAAUGUUUGCUUUAAUGAGUAUUAGGAAAGGUGUUCCCUGCCCAUCCCCUGCUUUUACAGAUACUGUCUUGGACAAGUUGAGGAAAAUUGAAUGAGUUGAUUUAAAGAAACAUCUGCAUGGUAGAUGAGAGUAUGGACCUCCACCAGGGUUCAAGCCCUCCUUCUUGCCUUGCCUUGGCUGUGUGGCCUUGGGCAAAUGACUGAACUUCUCUGGGCCUCGGUUUCUUCGUCUGUAAAAUGGGGGAUAAAUCACAUACCUAUCUCGUAAGGAUAUGGUAAAGAUUUAAUGACCUACUGUGUGUAGGACCCUUAGAACCAUACCAGGCAGUAGGCCUUGAGCCUGCCUGUCAUUAAAAUCACAGGGGAUUGUUAUAAAAAGAGGAGAGGUAUGCCUCAAACUAACCAAAUCAGAAUGUUUCUCCGGGGCCAUGCCUCUUUCAGGCAGUUCUGGGGACACCAAGAUGGCUGAGACAGCCCCAGGCCUGCCCUCUCGGGUCUCAAAGUCCAACAGGGGAGACACACCUGUUCCCAGAGUGGUCAGGGCCAAGGUGAGGGAAGCACCUGGGAUGCGGGAGCCCAGAGGAAGGGCCAGACCCCAUUGUGUGAGAGGCUUUCCUAGAACAAAGAGGCUGAUGCGAGCCAGGGGACUAGGAGGGCAGGGCAUCCCAGAUAGAGAAGGUAUGCAAGUCCCAUGUGUGGGCCUUACUUGGCUGCCCUCCCACAACUUUCCCGUCUUGGCAGGGGAACCAAGUUCCCAGUUGGUCGCUGAGCACCUGAGCCCAAGAGGCCCACAUGUGCCUCCACCUGCCGCCGGUCCGCGCUGCCCCUUACACCGGUCAGCCCACCGGCCUUCUGCAUCUGCUCUCGUUUAUCUCUUCCCUUGGGCUGAGCUGGGAUGACAGCCUGCUAUCGAGGGCAGGCACGCGAGCUGCAUAGCUGCCCCGGUCUCUGCUUGCACAGCACGUUGUAAUAGAGCACCCGUGUUUAUUCACACAGCGAGUGCUCAUUGUGUGCCUGGCCCUCUGCUGGGCGCUGCGGGCACACACGGCCCCUGCUGUCCUGGCACUGACCCGGUACCGGGGAGCCAGCAAGCAAAUAAUGAUCAAAGUAAUAGAUGAACUGUGCUAGGGGAAAGCCGGCAGAGGAGACCCACUGGGAUCCGCGAGUGGAUACGGUCCAGGACUCAAAGGAGUGUCUAAUCUAGCCCAAGGGGCAAAGGUAGGUUCAAUGAGGAAGGGUCAUUUCUGCCAAAGAUAAGAACAAUAAGGAGGUGGGAGCAAGUGAGUAGUUUCCGAGGGGCUGAUGAUAUAUUCUUGACCCAGGAUGCAGUCACAUGGUGUCUGCUUUGUAACUGUUUCUUCAGUUAUAUGCAUAUACUUUGUACACUGCUCUGUGUGUCAGCUAUUAUACAAUUUUUUUAGGUAUUUAUUUCAAGAGAGACAAAGCAGGAGUGGGCAAGGGGCAGAGAGGGAGAGGGAGACAGAGAAUCCCAAGAAGGCUCUGCACCGUCAGCACGGAGCCCGAUGUGGGGCUCAAACUCACAAAACCGUGAGAUCAUGACCCAAGCUGAAACCAAGAGUCAGACACUUAACUGACUGAGCCACCCAGGCACCCCUGUACAAUUUUUUUUUAAAAAGAGAGAAGGGCGGGGGGGGAAGGGGGGAAAGGAAAGAUGGGAUGUAAAAGGGAUGUCUCGAUGAAUGGGAAGGAGUAGCAUGUGCAAAGGCCCUGAGGUGGAGAGGAAGGCGGAUGCUGUUAGGUCACUGAACACAGGCCCCUUGGCUCAAGGGUAGAAACUGAGGGGCCAGCUGAUGGGAGGUUUUUGGGGAAGUCAGCAGGAGCCAGACCAUGCAGGGCCCUGUCCACCACAUUACAGAGUUUGGAUUCGAUCCCAAGAACUAUGGGCAGCAAGGAGAGGUUUCAGCAGAAAGGGUAGUACAGGCGGAUUUAUGUUUUGAAAGAUAGUGCUGGAGAUGAGACUGGAGGCAGAGCCUCAGGGACAGGGCUGAGGCGGAGAUAUGAGUGAGAAGGAAGGGGUCUGGACCAGAGGACAGAGCAGCUACGCCUGCGUCACAAAGUGGCAUUGCUAGGACACCAGGAGGGAGGGAGACACAGGUCCAGGAUGGUGCCAGGGAGCAAAGAGUCAAGGCUGACUGCUGAGUGUCAGGAGGCUGCUGCAGACGGGGUGGUGAGGUUCUUGAGAAGAGACUGGGGCAGGGUCAGCCCAGGAGGCACGUUACUCUUAGGUAACAGGACGGACGGCUAGGAAGGCCUCUUACAAGGUUGUUAUUUUGUAGGAAGCAAGAGAUUGACCCAGGCAGAAGAAACAGCAAAUGUCACGACAGUGAAGGUGAACUUAUUUGCAGUGCUUAAGAAAUGGCCAAGCGGGUGUGCCUGGGUGGCUCAGUCAGUUGAAUGUCUGACUUCGGCUCAGGUCAUGAUCUCACAGUUCGUGAGUUCAAGCCCUGCAUCGGGCUCUGUGCUGUCAGUGCAGAGCCUGCUUCGGAUCCUCUGUCCCCUUCUCUCUGCCUGUCUCUCAAAAAUGAAUAAAACAUUAAAAAAAAAAAAAAAUGAUCAAGUGGCCAGAGAGGGAGGAGCGGACAGGGCAAA